GAUGAACGCUGGCGGCGUGCCUAAUACAUGCAAGUCGAGCGAACAGACGAGGAGCUUGCUCCUCUGACGUUAGCGGCGGACGGGUGAGUAACACGUGGAUAACCUACCUAUAAGACUGGGAUAACUUCGGGAAACCGGAGCUAAUACCGGAUAAUAUAUUGAACCGCAUGGUUCAAUAGUGAAAGACGGUUUUGCUGUAACUUAUAGAUGGAUCCGCGCCGCAUUAGCUAGUUGGUAAGGUAACGGCUUACCAAGGCAACGAUGCGUAGCCGACCUGAGAGGGUGAUCGGCCACACUAGAACUUAGACACGGUCCAGACUCCUACGGGAGGCAGCAGUAGGGAAUCUUCCGCAAUGGGCGAAAGCCUGACGGAGCAACGCCGCGUGAGUGAUGAAGGUCUUCGGAUCGUAAAACUCUGUUAUUAGUGAAGAACAAAUGUGUAAUUAACUAUGCACGUCUUGACGGUACCUAAUCAGAAAGCCACGGCUAACUACGUG
rnacentral:rRNA from 1 species